rfam:Acidimicrobium sp. BACL27 MAG-120823-bin42 contig00414_1_120823-bin42, whole genome shotgun sequence.
GGGCGAGUGGCGAAAUGGCAGACGCGCUGGCUUCAGGUGCCAGUGUUCGCAAGGACGUGGGGGUUCAAGUCCCCCCUCGCCCA